GGCAAUAAGUCUGACCGUCGUAUCGGUCCUUGUUUGUGUUAUCAGGAAAAAUGUCUGUUACUGUUGCAAAGCUUCUGUGUCUCUACGAGCCAAAGCUGAAAUAAUCAGUGGUGAACAGGAAUAUCGACAGGAGCUAAAUCAGGAAUCCGUGUUUUAUUCUGAAGUCGUCUUUAUCCGGAGGAAAGCUUACAAAGCAGGGAGGAGAAAUGUCCAAGUAUAGGAGGA